rnacentral:rRNA from 1 species
AAACGGGUGGUAAUGCCGGAUGCUCCGACUCCUCGCAUGGGGUGUCGGGAAAGAUUUCAUCGGUAUGGGAUGGGGUCGCGUCCUAUCAGGUAGUCGGCGGGGUAACGGCCCACCGAGCCUACGACGGGUAGCCGGCCUGAGAGGGCGACCGGCCACAUUGGGACUGAGAUACGGCCCAGACUCCUACGGGAGGCAGCAGUGGGGAAUAUUGCACAAUGGGCGCAAGCCUGAUGCAGCGACGCCGCGUGCGGGAUGACGGCCUUCGGGUUGUAAACCGCUUUUGAUCGGGAGCAAGCCUUCGGGUGAGUGUACCUUUCGAAUAAGCACCGGCUAACUACGUGCCAGCAGCCGCGGUAAUACGUAGGGUGCAAGCGUUAUCCGGAAUUAUUGGGCGUAAAGGGCUCGUAGGCGGUUCGUCGCGUCCGGUGUGAAAGUCCAUCGCUUAACGGUGGAUCUGCGCCGGGUACGGGCGGGCUGGAGUGCGGUAGGGGAGACUGGAAUUCCCGGUGUAACGGUGGAAUGUGUAGAUAUCGGAAAAGAACACCA